rnacentral:rRNA from 1 species
GAUAAACGCUGGCGGCGUGCCUAAUACAUGCAAGUCGAGCGAACGGACGAGAAGCUUGCUUCUCUGAUGUUAGCGGCGGACGGGUGAGUAACACGUGGAUAACCUACCUAUAAGACUGGGAUAACUUCGGGAAACCGGAGCUAAUACCGGAUAAUAUUUUGAACCGCAUGGUUCAAAAGUGAAAGACGGUCUUGCUGUCACUUAUAGAUGGAUCCGCGCUGCAUUAGCUAGUUGGUAAGGUAACGGCUUACCAAGGCAACGAUGCAUAGCCGACCUGAGAGGGUGAUCGGCCACACUGGAACUGAGACACGGUCCAGACUCCUACGGGAGGCAGCAGUAGGGAAUCUUCCGCAAUGGGCGAAAGCCUGACGGAGCAACGCCGCGUGAGUGAUGAAGGUCUUCGGAUCGUAAAACUCUGUUAUUAGGGAAGAACAUAUGUGUAAGUAACUGUGCACAUCUUGACGGUACCUAAUCAGAAAGCCACGGCUAACUACGUGCCAGCAGCCGCGGUAAUACGUAGGUGGCAAGCGUUAUCCGGAAUUAUUGGGCGUAAAGCGCGCGUAGGCGGUUUUUUAAGUCUGAUGUGAAAGCCCACGGCUCAACCGUGGAGGGUCAUUGGAAACUGGAAAACUUGAGUGCGGAAGAGGAAAGUGGAAUUCCAUGUGUAGCGGUGAAAUGCGCAGAGAUAUGGAGGAACACCAGUGGCGAAGGCGACUUUCUGGUCUGUAACUGACGCUGAUGUGCGAAAGCGUGGGGAUCAAACAGGAUUAGAUACCCUGGUAGUCCACGCCGUAAACGAUGAGUGCUAAGUGUUAGGGGGUUUCCGCCCCUUAGUGCUGCAGCUAACGCAUUAAGCACUCCGCCUGGGGAGUACGACCGCAAGGUUGAAACUCAAAGGAAUUGACGGGGACCCGCACAAGCGGUGGAGCAUGUGGUUUAAUUCGAAGCAACGCGAAGAACCUUACCAAAUCUUGACAUCCUUUGACAACUCUAGAGAUAGAGCCUUCCCCUUCGGGGGACAAAGUGACAGGUGGUGCAUGGUUGUCGUCAGCUCGUGUCGUGAGAUGUUGGGUUAAGUCCCGCAACGAGCGCAACCCUUAAGCUUAGUUGCCAUCAUUAAGUUGGGCACUCUAAGUUGACUGCCGGUGACAAACCGGAGGAAGGUGGGGAUGACGUCAAAUCAUCAUGCCCCUUAUGAUUUGGGCUACACACGUGCUACAAUGGACAAUACAAAGGGCAGCGAAACCGCGAGGUCAAGCAAAUCCCAUAAAGUUGUUCUCAGUUCGGAUUGUAGUCUGCAACUCGACUACAUGAAGCUGGAAUCGCUAGUAAUCGUAGAUCAGCAUGCUACGGUGAAUACGUUCCCGGGUCU